AAUAGAUACCCGGGUAGUCCACGCCGUAAACGAUGAGUGCUAAGUGUUAGAGGGUUUCCGCCCUUUAGUGCUGCAGCUAACGCAUUAAGCACUCCGCCUGGGGAGUACGGCCGCAAGGCUGAAACUCAAAGGAAUUGACGGGGGCCCGCACAAGCGGUGGAGCAUGUGGUUUAAUUCGAAGCAACGCGAAGAACCUUACCAGGUCUUGACAUCCUCUGACACUCCUAGAGAUAGGAUUUUCCCCUUCGGGGGACAGAGUGACAGGUGGUGCAUGGUUGUCGUCAGCUCGUGUCGUGAGAUGUGGGUUAAGUCCCGCAACGAGCGCAACCCUUGAUCUUAGUUGCCAGCAUUCAGUUGGGCACUCUAAGGUGACUGCCGGUGACAAACCGGAGGAAGGUGGGGAUGACGUCAAAUCAUCAUGCCCCUUAUGACCUGGGCUACACACGUGCUACAAUGGAUGGUACAAAGGGCAGCGAAGCCGCGAGGUGGAGCCAAUCCCAUAAAACCAUUCUCAGUUCGGAUUGCG
rnacentral:rRNA from 1 species